rnacentral:rRNA from 1 species
UACGGAGGGGGCGAGCGUUAUUCGGAAUUAUUGGGCGUAAAGGGCGCGUAGGCGGCUUUCUAAGUCAUAGGUGAAAUCCCUCGGCUCAACUGAGGAACUGCCUUUGAAACUGGAAAGCUUGAGGCCGGGAGAGGGUAGCGGAAUUCCCAGUGUAGCGGUGAAAUGCGUAGAUACUGGGAGGAACACCGGUGGCGAAGGCGGCUGCCUGGACCGGUACUGACGCUGAGGCGCGAAAGCUAGGGUAGCAAACGGG